UUUUGGAUCAAGAAGAAUUUGGAGACGAUGACAUCAUCACUCAUGUCAUGUACAUCUACGUUAAAACAUGUAAUCAUCAACAGCAGCCAAACAGAAGAAGCAGAGAGGAGGAUUCAUCUGCAGUUGACUCCACAGUGAGAACUGAAGACGUCAGUUAUGGACAAACAGCCAUCAGAACAAGGAGGCCCAGACUUUAAACCAGAGCCAGACGUCGUCUACUCUUCACUGAAGUAGUCCACCAGUCCAACCACUGACAUCCAGCUGCUGGUCUCUAACUGGUCCCUCAGACAAGAGGACAUCCACAUGGUCAAAAAUUUUUGUUUGUUUGCUUUUUUUUUUUUCAAUAAUUUGAACUAAAUAAAGAAGAUGUUAUAUUUAAGUUUCACGGUGGAAUUUAUCUGUGAAUAAAAUACAAAUAGUUUCAAUGUUUUAUUUAAUGACCUCAGUAACUUUAAUAAUUUUCUUCAUUUUUUAUGUUUCCUGGAUCUUAUUUCUCUGUAGGAUUCAUAAAGUUUUUCUCAUGUGGUUCUGUGGGUUUCACUAAAGUGUCAGAUGGAAAAUUUGACUUGCUUGCAUUUGGUUGUGGCUAACCUAGAUUUUGAUCAUGACCGUGAAGUGUACCAGCAACAUGAUCACCUAAUAUUCACUUUAAGCAGGUGUAAGCACAAGCUGUGAACUGCUGUCUGAGUGUGGAGCAAGAAAAAACGGUGGGAAUGUUACAUAAUUAGCCAAUCCUGACCAAAUUAAUAUGAAGAAGAUUGUUUCCACAUGUAGCAGCUGAAUAACAGCUGGGAUCAACAUCUGAGGAUUUCCUCUCUAAAACAGGGACACAGUCACACACAGAGGCUGAGAGUUACAACAGUACAGCUUCACAGUCACCGCUGUACUAACACUCUGCCCAAACUUCCUUCUAGGCUCCUUUCACAUUAAAGGCACAUCCUUAAAUGCGUUUUAGAUAGUAUAGUAUAUAGUGUGUUUUAGAAUUAAAUUCAAAAUUUUACUUUUGACUUAUAAAGUGCUAAAUAAAUAACUUAAAAAGCGCUAAGGCACCGGACUAUUAGUCUGACCUUUUGCAGCGUUAUACGCCCUCUAGAGCCCUUCAAUCAAGCGAUCAUCUACUCCUCACCUUACAUAAGUCUAGGAUGGUUCAUAGACGAGCUCGGGCAUUUGCAGUUGUGGCACCGAAAAUGUGGAAUGAUCUACCUCUCCACAUUAGAAAGGCCCCAACUGUUACUCUUUUUAAAUCGCAUCUUAAAACACUUUUUUUUUUAAACUUUGGCUUUUGAAACUGUAUGAGAGUUACCAAUUCUUUUAUCCUAAUUUUCUUUAAAUUUUCUUACCUGUUGUUGUUGUUAAUUUCAUUGUUUAAUUGUUAUAUUGUA